UUUUUUUUUUUUUUUUGAAGGGAAGUACAAAACUUAAUUAAGCUUUAAAAGAAUAAAAGAAAUGAUGUUAAUAGAGUGUAUAAGUAUUGUUGACGUCAGGAAUAAUGAUAAUGUAACUAACAGUCACAUGGUGAAAAGGAAAAUGGUGAAGUGAUGUAGGUUGGUUAUGGGAAAGGCACAAGUUCCAUGAUUUAGGCCAUUGAGAUAUUAUU
rnacentral:lncRNA from 1 species